AUGUUACACAAAUGGAACAUGUUGGUUGACCUGGUUAAACUAACUGUCUUAUCUGACCAGUCAGAUACCCCUGUCUGGAGCUUGGAACCGAAUGGUCAAUACUCUGUUAAAUCACUUUACAAGUUGAUUAACUUUGGUGGGAUUUCCUCUAAGAUCAGAGAUUGCAUCUGGAAGAUUAAAGUCCCCUCGAAUAUUCAUGUUUUCUUGUGGCUGAUGUAUAACAAUAAAAGCUUAACUAGAGAUAACCUUGCUAAAAGAAGACAUGUUGAAGAUAAAACUUGUGUGUUUUGUGCUGAACCUGAAUCCAUUCAACAUCUAUUGUUUGACUGCAUUGUUGCAUCUGAAAUCUGGGCUGUGAUUGCUGAAUCUUUAAACAUAAUCAUCCCUAGGUCCUUUGAAUCUCUAUCUUCCUUCUGGAAGAAGAAAAAACAAUGUGAAGCUGUUAAUAUUACCACGUCUGCUACCUUGUGGUGCUUAUGGUGUUUGCGCAAUGAUUUUGUCUUUCAGGGACGAAGGUGGCGAGAUAUGCGCUGUGUGUUGGAUCGGGUGGGGGCAACAAUCAGGCAGUGGAAGAUCUUAUGUUCAGAGGUCCAGGGUGCUCUACUUCUCCGGUGCUUAAGGCUUUUCAAUCGUCGAAGAGGGGAAUUGCUUAGAAUCAUCUGGAUUUGCUGA
rnacentral:rRNA from 1 species